UUCAAAUUGCAUGCAAAACAUCAGCAGAACGAAGCUGAGAAAAACCAAUUACCUCAACUGGAAAUCAAAUAAACUCAAAAAGUAUAGUGUGUGCAGAAAACGAAACUUAAUAAUUCCAGAAAAAGGGAGAUGGAAGGAGGUGUGCAUUAACUUACUUCGACCAAUCGAUGCCAUGACUGAAAGAAUUUCAAAAAGGAAAAAAUAAAUAGAACAAUUUUUGUACGUGUUGUGAAAAGGAUUGCCAGGCGAUACAGAAUGAAAGAUAUAUGGAGAGACAGAUGGAUAGUUAGGAAAAUAGAGGCUGUGUGGGCGGGUUGAAGAAGUCUGAUCCGCUCCGUUCCAAAGGAUAUCGUAUUUGGAAUAGUCUUAAGACAGAUAGCUUUCAAACUGGUAGACUUGUUUGCGUGGAAAGAAACGGACGGACAUAAGGACAGACGGACAUGGAUAUAUUUGGUUGUUGAUACUGAACAAGAAUAUAUACAAUUUAUAUGGUCACUGAUUGGUUUCACUUCGGAUUCACUUGAUAGGUCCUUUUUGUUAAAUAUAAAUACUGCAAAGGAAAAGGGUACAUAAACUUUGGCUUGCCGAAGCUAUCUCUCUUCCAUGUUUCUAUUUUGGCUGAGGGAAAUCAAGGCGAACUUCUGGUUUGCGUGACUCUGUGUUGAUUCUAUCCGA